rnacentral:rRNA from 1 species
UACGUAGGGUGCAAGCGUUGUCCGGAAUUAUUGGGCGUAAAGAGCGUGUAGGCGGUUAGGUAGGUCCGUUGUGAAAACUCGAGGCUCAACCUCGAGACGCCGAUGGAAACCAUCUAACUAGAGUCCGGAAGAGGAGAGUGGAAUUCCUGGUGUAGCGGUGAAAUGCGCAGAUAUCAGGAGGAACACCAAUGGCGAAGGCAGCUCGCUGGGACGGUACUGACGCUGAGACGCGAAAGCGUGGGGAGCAAACAGG